rnacentral:rRNA from 1 species
CUCAUUAAAUCAGUUAUCGUUUAUUUGAUAGUACCUUACUACUUGGAUAACCGUGGUAAUUCUAGAGCUAAUACAUGCUAAAAACCCCGACUUCGGGAGGGGUGUAUUUAUUAGAUAAAAAACCAAUGCCCUUCGGGGCUCCUUGGUGAAUCAUGAUAACUUAACGAAUCGCAUGGCCUUGCGCCGGCGAUGGUUCAUUCAAAUUUCUGCCCUAUCAACUUUCGAUGGUAGGAUAGUGGCCUACCAUGGUAUCAACGGGUAACGGGGAAUUAGGGUUCUAUUCCGGAGAGGGAGCCUGAGAAACGGCUACCACAUCCAAGGAAGGCAGCAGGCGCGCAAAUUACCCAAUCCCGACACGGGGAGGUAGUGACAAUAAAUACUGAUACAGGGCUCUUUUGGGUCUUGUAAUUGGAAUGAGUACAAUUUAAAUACCUUAACGAGGAACAAUUGGAGGGCAAGUCUGGUGCCAGCAGCCGCGGUAAUUCCAGCUCCAAUAGCGUAUAUUAAAGUUGUUGCAGUUAAAAAGCUCGUAGUUGAACCUUGGGCCUGGCUGGCCGGUCCGCCUCACCGCGUGUACUGGUCCGGCCGGGCCUUUCCUUCUGGGGAUCCCCAUGCCCUUCACUGGGUGUGGCGGGGAACCAGGACUUUUACUUUGAAAAAAUUAGAGUGUUCAAAGCAGGCCUUUGCUCGAAUACAUUAGCAUGGAAUAAUAGAAUAGGACGUGCGGUCCUAUUUUGUUGGUUUCUAGGACCGCCGUAAUGAUUAAUAGGGAUAGUCGGGGGCAUCAGUAUUCAAUUGUCAGAGGUGAAAUUCUUGGAUUUAUUGAAGACUAACUACUGCGAAAGCAUUUGCCAAGGAUGUUUUCAUUAAUCAGUGAACGAAAGUUAGGGGAUCGAAGACGAUCAGAUACCGUCGUAGUCUUAACCGUAAACUAUGCCGACUAGGGAUCGGGCGAAGUUAUUAUUUUGACUCGCUCGGCACCUUACGAGAAAUCAAAGUCU